AUGCUGUCGUUGGACUAUUGGACGUUUUCUCUGCUUCUUUUCAUUCUCACAGGUGUCAGCCAUGAACAACUCAAUGCAGUCAAGACUAAAGAGUCCAGUUUAGAAGGAACCACUGUUACUCUGUCCUACAACUACCCUGAACUCUCAAGUAGUAAUUAUUUCUUCUGGUAUCGACAAUAUCCAGGAAAACCUCCAGAGUUCCUGAUCUCUAACUCUGCUUCAGGAGAAGUAGGAACUUUUGAAGACCCUCGACUGAAGAUUAAAGUGGAGCAAAAGCAAAUCACUAUGAACAUCUCCUCUGCUGCAGUGACAGACUCUGCUGUGUACUACUGUGCUCUGAGGCCCACAGUGACAGGAAACAAAAUCAUCUUUUCAUCAUCUUCUACAUUGAACUGA